rnacentral:lncRNA from 1 species
CUUGGAGGGAGGAACCAAGAUGGCCGAAUAGGAACAGCUCCGGUCUGCAGCUCCCAGCAUGAGCGACGCAGAAGACGGGUGAUUUCUGCAUUUCCAUCUGAGGUACAGGGUUCAUCUCACUAGGGAGUGCCAGACAGCGGGCGCAGGACUUGGUACCAGCUGACACACGUGGCUGACAGCAGCUGAUAAUGAAGCCUUUUCUCCCUGGUCCUGAACUACUUCAGUGAAGAAAAUGAACAGUGUCCACUACUCAAUAGAGGUCUCAUUCUAGAAGGAGAAAUAGAACAAAAAAUAAAAAGAGGAAAUUAUAUAUGAAAUCUCCAGAGUGGAGAAAGUUAGACAUUUUAGUCAAGGUCAUGAGGAAACACCUCAGUGAGAAGGGAUGGAAUGUGGCUGUCCAGGCAAGGAGCUUCUUAGGCAAUAGAAAAUCAGUCCUCUCCUGAACUGCAUCUGACUGAUAAUCUCAUAUAUUGACUUAAAAAUAGGGCACUUUCUUCAACUAGGAGACCUUUGCCAGAGCAUGUGAAGACCUUCUUGGCAAACACCAGCCAUGCUCACUUCUCACCAUCCCCCAGUGCCACCUACUCUCUGCUCAACACUCUCCAUGCCCCUCCCAGAGCCAUUGAUCCCGUUCCACCAGAAGAUCACAUCUUAGAAAUGCCCCAGACAUCGUUGGACAUUUCUUCAUGCUUCAUGAGCUUCAAAAUCUUUUAAAAAUUUAAUGCGCUUAUGAAUCUCUAACAAGCUCCUAAAUAACUUGUAUGCUAUUGUUAAAAAACUCCAAAUAUUAAUAAGUAUUAGUAAAAUGUUGCUGUUAAUAGUAAAUCAGCUAAGCGUCAAAAUGCUACCUGGAAAAGCAAGCAGAAUAGACAUUCCAAUGUUAAAGGGCAUCAAGAGCAAGACUCUUAAAGAGCCUAUGAAAUCAUUUAAGUGUGAGAUAAAAAGGUUGGGAAUUUCAUACAUAUUUAGCAUUGCCUGAGAAAUGUCUCUAAGUUUUUCUUUUUUCACUCUAGAAUAUUACCAAAGUUGCAGUUAAUUACAUUUCUGCUGCUACAAAAACAUUUUUUCAUGCCUCAGUGAUUCAUGAAUCUUCCAUUGUGUGUAUUAGGCAGCAGCUCUUGUAGACAAUGACAGAGAAUAAAAUGCUUCCAGAGGAAACACGAUUCAGGUGUCUGUUUUUGGGUUAUGCGGUGUCAGAUUGGUCCCAUUGUGCUUCAGAGAGCAUUUGUUAUUUUGUGAUAUGGCUACAGACAGGUUUAAGAUCCAGAUCAUCAUCUUACUUCAAAGAGUGUGAAUAAAUGAUUCAAGAAAGAAAAAUAAGAAUGGAGUAUUUGGAUAACAAUAUAUUCUCAAUUUAAAACGGUUUAUGAAGGGAACAAACAUACCAUGCAAAUGAGAAGCAGUUUUAGAAGGGGAAGUGUUGUGCUUCAUCACAACUAAUUAUUACUUGAAUAUUUAUUAGUAGUAUGAGAAACUAAAUGUCUAUGGCCAUACCACCCUGAACGUGCCGGAUCUCAUCUGAAAAGGAAAAAAUAGCUUCUACUUUCAAUGGUGAGAUAUAAACAAAAGUUCUCUUUCAUUACGCUUAACAAAAAAUGUGCAUCUUUAAAUUUUUUUUUUUUUUUUUGAGAUGGAGUCAUGCCCUGUCACCCAGGCUGGAGUGUAGUGGCCCGAUCUCAGCUCACUGCAAGCUCUGCCUCCCAGGUUCAUGUGAUUCUCCUGCCUCAACCUCCCCAGUAGCUGGGACUACAAAUGCACACCACCAUGCCCUGUUA